rnacentral:lncRNA from 1 species
CUAAUCGUACAGCAGAACUCAGAUUGGUUUUUUAGAAACUCAAUCUCAGUUGUCCAUCAGAGUACUUCUAGUAUUAAACCUUCUUAGUAUAUAAGAAAGAAAUCCUUGCCCAUGCUACCAUUUCCUGAUUGAGAUGACCUAAAAAACAUCUGUUGCUUAUCCAUGCCUUGGGUACAGAGCAGUGUAGGUAAAAGCUUCCCUGCUGAUGUGCCCAGCCUGGUUCAUAAGGAUAUUCUUUGAAGGUGAGCAAUGAAUUUCUUCUUCGUGCUCUGUGCAAUUGCUUCUUUAUCACUGUCAAAUAGCCUUAGCCAAUUUGUGGUUUUGUGGUAGGGGCACUUUUCUAUUAAAAGGAAUUAGAUGAACCACAGCCUGCACCUCAGGCUGAAUAAUUGUAAAAUAAUUGCACUUUCUGUGAACAUGGGAAUGAUUUAAAAUGGUAUUUUAGAGGUACCAAAUUUUACCAGCAGUCUCUAGUGGACUACGUAUGAUGUUUCCUUCCUCACCCCAAACAAGCACAUAUUGGCUUCAUUUGGGUAGAAAGCAGCAGCCCUGCACGUUUACUUGAACCCCUCUGAAGAGCGGCGGAGAUUCUCAUAUGCUGUUUGGUGAUAGCAGUUUUGCACUGUAAAUUUAUAACGUAAGAGGGAGGAAAUUCUGGCUAUUCUGGUAAAUGCACUGUACUUCAGGGUUAUUGACAAGCCAACCCUACCCCUGGCCUUUCAGAAAGUACAGAGGUUGAACCUACUAAGAAACGUGGGUCAGUUGUUACCCUAACAGAAUUCUUUUCAUUAAAGGAAUGAUCAGUCAGAACCACUUGGUACUCCAUGAGCAACAACAACAACAAAGAUCUAACUAACAUUUCAAAAAACUAACCAAUGUGAAAAAGAGGAAAAACGUAUUUAUAGAAACUUUCAUUCUAACUCUACUUAUCCAUUUGUUGAAAAAGUGUCAAGUGUCACCACAUCACCGUAUCUAUAGCGUGUAGACGGUAUCUUUACACAUCAACUUUUCUCUUUAACCAGAAAAAUGGGAGAGGAAGAAAAAGAGAAAUGUAAUAUUAGUGCUGGAUUUAUGUGCUGCAGCAGAAAUAAGAUGAAUACACAACUAUCGGGCUUGUCAAAGACAUAUUUGGGUAGCAGCAAACACUAUCACAUUUCAGAAAACGGGCUACGUUCUCUUUUCUGUCAGAUGCAGUGCAGAUACAAGUUCAACAUUAAAACAAAAAAACAGAAAUCUAAGAUGAAAGCAGAAACGUGAAAAAAAUAUAUCUGAAACUCCAAACACUUUCAGAGAAAUUCGUCACUUUCUAAAAAGAACAAUCAGCUCCAAGCUCCUGUGUCUAUUUUGCAGCACAUUCAGACAGAACUAGUCUAGCAAUAACACGCUACAAAUACUCCCAGAGGUUCACGAGCGUGGUGCUUGGUCUGUCUUGGUUUUAUUUUUUCCUUUUUUGAACAUGCAAGUUUAAGGUUGCUUCAGUUGUCCUCUGCAAACCCCUUUAUUUUCAAAGGUUGUAUAGCUGGAUUUACAGUGCCUGGUUAUUGCAAGGAGAAGGAGAGGGAGGAGGGUAUAAUCCUACAAGCCUAGGAAAAUUGCAAGAAUAAAUCAUGAUGGAGACUUUUUCUUUUAUUACAUUUACUUUUGGAAAAACAGUAUAAAUAAAAGACUGCAAACAAGAACGAACCAGAAAUCAGAAAACACGAAUAAUCCUUUCCUCUAUUCCUCUCUUAGUCCUUUUCCUGUCUUUAUUCUAGAGACACAGCAGUCCAAAAAUCUAUUAAUAUUCUUCAUUUUCCCUAGCUAACUGUCAUUAUUACAGAAAGUGAGAAAUGGCUGUCAAGCUCAAAAGCAAAACCAAGUAUGUUCUAAAUCCCCUACAGCCACACUUGUUCCAUAUAAGGACAUUGCUGCUAUUAUAGCAGUGAGCAGAGUAAAUAAUUUUAAAAAAUAAUUUAAAAUGUUAAUAAUUAACAAUCCCAAAGCUCCAUAUUUUUUUCACACAGCUUAUUCUCUAAGCGGAAGCAGGGCUCUUUAAUUCCACAUAGCACUUACUGAUGCCCAAAUCACCAGAGACCAGCAAAUAUAGAUCACAUAGCAUGUAUUGUAUUAGUGGAAAUAUACAUUUAAACAAGAUAAACAUCUAUACCCCCACAGAAGGAUCAGCAUGGAUUCAUCAAAAUGGAAGGUUGCACUCUGAAAGAUGUCUAUGUGCGCCCUUCCCAAGCACUCAGAGGAGAAAGCACAGCCCAUCAAGGCUCAAGAACUUCAGCCUUCCUGGGUCCAGAGAUCAACUGCGGAAGAAGAAAUAUGAACGUCUUCUCCUGAGAGGCAGGCUUAAAUACCGUCUGGAAUUAGUUCAUUAGUUCAUAUUCCAACAAUCGGGUCAGACUGUAAUGACAAGGCCCAGUAACUUCCAGUCAUAAUCACAAAUUCAGUGCCACGCAGACAUGGCUAGAAAUAAAACAGGCUGUUUUGCUACUCAGCUUUCUGGGAAAUGUACUUCUAAUCUGCCCAGCAGAAAGUCAUUUCAAGCCACUUAGGCUUGACAAUUCUCAGUGUGGCUCAGAUUUAGAUCUGGCCAGACUUUAAAAUGCUGCAAACACAAAAUGGGUGAUAGACCUCCAGCAAUACUAUGGUUUCACCUUCUUGAUAGUUUUUCAAAACGGACUGGUAACCAAAAUACAAACACUUCUGAAUAUUUAGCCCUUCCUUCUGUCCAUCAUGCUGAGGUUAAACCAUCCCAAGACAAGGACCUUGGAAGAAGAUCCCUCAUACUUCAUCUUGCCCUGUGCUCUUAACUCAAGGCAGGAUCUCCUUUGCCUUUGCUGGGAAAUGGCUUUCCUAAACAUCAUGACUAUGGCUAGACUGUUGAGUCAUCCUGCAAUAAUUGUUUUAAUGACAAUUAAAAAGCCUUACUUCUGAUCAUUUAAAAGAACAUUAAAUUUCAGCCCUAAGGCAAUGAACUACUGGCAAAAGAGGAGCAGUUUCAAUGAAUUCAAGGAUUUCCUUGUCUCUCUCUCUCUUUUCCUCUCUCUCUCUCUCUCUCUCAUUUUUGCCAGCUAACAUCAGACAAACAGGGCUUGCAGGGAGAAGUAAUAUACUUCAUUAAACCAAAUGAUGCUGCUAGGAGAAGCAGACAAGCUUUCAGACACAUAGUUCCUUCAGGUCAAACAUCAGGUCAAUAAUUUUGAAAAUACUGCAAAAGCAUACUUAUCUCCAGUCAUAGCAAAUGCACUUUUGAGCUUUACCAAUGCUUAUUAAACCGUUAACAUUUUGGUUUGGGAAUGGAUGCAAGCUCUGCGCAGCGCUGGAGCAGAAGACUUCUCCAUUAGAGUUUACAGAUGAAAGAGAGCAGAAUCUAAAAAACACUCCCCGGUCUGUGCAGCAAAUGCCCAUUCUGUACAGUGCAAUGCAAAUAUUUUCCCUUCCAGGAUUUCAAAAUAUUUUAUUUGAAGUCAUUGAAUUACUCAAAGGAUAUUUUAAUUUUAAUUUUUCUUCAUGCCUGAAGAAAUGGAAUGUGGAAACAUCUUCUCCAUGCUAAUCCUUCACCCAUCCAUUACUGUCACAGUCAUUCCAGUCCAUUUUCAAGACUGUUUGGAAAAUCCUACAUUGUACCUUACCUCUCUCAUCUUUCUGGAGCUGCUUUAUUAUUCUGUCAUAACGAAACAUAGAUGAAGAAAUUACAAGUCUUCAUUCUCUUUUGGCACUUCCAUUUGAAAAAGGAGAAAGAGAAGUUCAGGUGUUCACUUCAAGGACAACAUGAAGUCUGAUCACACUCCCCUUCCUCCUGCCAGGUUUCAUCACACUUUCAGGGUAUUUUGGAAGGCAGAAAGUGCCUCACUGUGCUUUGUGACUUUGGGUGCAGCAUUUCAACAGCUGUUCCAGUUUGCUUUAGAGAGAACAAAGAUGCUACAAAAUUCUGAUUUUCUCAACUCCCUGAGGCUCUGUUAUGAAGUAUUUAGCAAGUGACAACGAUCCCAUUUGUGACAUUCUUAUUUCUAAGUUAGCAGUGAUAAUCCCACAUGGUUUUAAAAGGGAUCCUGACAUACCAAAAGCUCUGUCUUUUAGGUGAAAUAUAGAAACCCAAUCCUUCUGUUCUCAGCAAUUACAAGUUCCUACACAAACCAGUUGUUAAGGUUGGUGUCCUGGCCAAACUCCAGCCUGUCAUUCUGACUCCUCACUCUUCUCCCACCCUUCCUCCUUCUACCCGAGGGCAGAUAUGGCAGGAAAAGAAGCAGCACACAAAUGCACACUGUCUCAAAGGUGUGCAAUGCAGCACUGGGCUUGGAAAGCCCCACGGUAUUUACACCAUACUGAAUGCAGGAAAAUAAAAGGUGAUCUACACAAGCCAUUAAAUCCUUAUUUGGAAGCUUUAUAGGACUAAAAAUACCAUAUAUAUACAUUGUACAAUGAAAUAUAAAUACACAACACUGAACAUAAACUGUAUAUAAACACUGUAGUUCACUAUGAAAAAAUACCUGUGAAUUAAGCACCUGACUUCAAGUGUAUCUGAAUAUACAACAACAGAGCUGCUGCAGGCUGGCUCGACUUCCAUAUGUGCAAGUACUUUCUGUAUAUAUGUUAACGCUCAUAUAGCAAAGUAAAGCAUGGUUUACAAGUAAUAAAAAAGACAGAAUAUCCUACAAAAAGUUAUUUUUAACAGCAAAAUGCAAAGAACUUAAAGACAGAUAGUACACAGAUUUAAAGAAUUGUUAUAAAUUAUUGUGGGGAACUUGGAAAAAUAAACUGACCAGCCAUUUGAAACUGUGUAGUUCUAACAGGUUAUUUUGGGUCCUAGUACUUUAAUAUUAAUAAGAGAAUUAACAUAAAUGUAAAAAUAGCACAAGCAGUAGCCUGCUGACCUGGUAAUGCACUGUAGCAAAGAACUGAGUGGAGAAUCUUAUUGCCAUCAGCAUAACUGCCCAAAGGAUAGCAGCAACCAACCAAACAUCACAUCAUGGGAAUAAUCAUGAACAUCUGAAAUUUUCAGUGGCUUCCGCACUGGGUUAUGUUUUAAGCUGUAAUGCACUGUAAUCCUCUUCACAUGCACACAAACGAACAAGUACCAAAACCCCAGACAAACUUGUCUGUCUCAAACCUUUGUCUAUUUGGGGUGCAGGGGAAGAAGAGAGAGUAGAGCACAAUUCCUACAUAUUCUGUACGAACUCCAUUGAAACCCCAGGCAAGAAACAUUUAUAUUCCUGUGGCAGAAACCUCGCAGCAUAACCAAGUGAAUCACAAAUAGGUUAAAACCCAUUUUGCUGACUUGCGGAGCCCUCUGAAGACAGGAGGCUGAAACUGUGUGUGUGCAAUCAGUAACCCGGAACAGGAGUCCCUGUGUAGCAGUGGCUUCACAUGUGGAAGGUGGCAGUGGUGUGACAGCAUACACCAACAUACUCAUUUAAUUAGCAUUAGGCUUAGUGCUGCCCUCUGAUAAAUGUACAGCAGUUGGUAAAAGGUCUUUGCUUGCAUCCUCCUAACACAGUCAAUUCAAUCUACCACAAACUUGUGGCAGCCAAAAGCAGCCACAACUGCUCAGCCCCAUUGGCAGUCCUUGGCCAGCAUUUCUGCUCAGUGUGGGAACCUGAAUUAGGCAACUGAACAAGCUGGAAACAACCCUCCUGCUUCCGCUGUUGGGCCAGUUUUCAGACGUAUCUGAAGCCAGCUCAACAUAACCUACGUGAUGGAAGCCAGCUUAGUGCAAGGACAAGGGAGGUGGCAGGAGUGAGCAGGCAGGGACACUGCCAGCCCUUGGGGAAGGUGCUCAGGAUCCCAGUCAAGUGCUGAGUUAGAGACCUGAAGCAGAGAAGUUUGCUGACAUCAUGAUGUAAGUCACUGUGUAUGCCCUUUUGCUUUUCUGCAAGCUUGUUACAGUUUUCCUUGUUUUCUCUCAAGGAAGGUUCACUGACUAGUCAAAAGAAGACAUUGUUGGCUCACCCAUGGGUGCAUUUAUCACAGCAGUACAGCUAGCUGGUGUUCCUUUGCCAUGUAGACCUCAGUCUUAACUCAGAGAAUUGAUGAAUGCCUUCUUUACUAGAACUCUAUUCUUUCUUAAGCACAUGAACUUGUACAGCAGAAUUGUAUCUUAUUUUUAUUACUCCACACCUCAAAGUCAUUAAAUUCAUCUCAUAUAACACUCUAAUCUUACUCUUUAUUGACUAUGCCAUCUAAAAUUCUGUAAAUGGCAAAUUUCAUUAGUAGACAUAACUUUUCACAGUGUUGCACAGUUUAAACACUAAAUACGAUCAGGCCUAAGUAGGAGCUAAGUAGGAUACUCCAGAUGUAAUCUCCCCCAUUGUUUUGAAUCUGAAACUUGAGACUAAACCAAAUCUAACGUACUAAAACACAGGUAACCUACUCAAAUAAUCUAUGGAAUGCACUUUACACACAGAACCAAACUGUAAGGCAGGAAACAGCAAAUGUGGAUUUGCUUCAUGCUCUGUUUUUCCCCCCAAUAAAUAAGUAUAGGCUCCCAACAAGUUGUUAGGCCUUUUCUCAUAUUUAGAGUGCUCAUCUAGAGGCAGACUAGAGGUAAUGUCCAUUGAUUGUUCACACUUGGUGCUGGCUUGAACUGAUCACCUCUUUAAUUAACCACAUAAAACUAGCGGCCUAAAGGUUAUGGUGUUUUGCCCCCCACCUGUAGGGUUCCUCUUCACUGAGAAGUUAUUCCGUUAAAGUUAUAGUGAGAAGAAACCAAUAGCGGAAAUGAUAAAGGAUAUCCCUCUGCUCCAUUUGAAAGAACUGUUGCAAAAAACUUCACAACAAAAAAGAUUUCAAUAAAAUAACAUUUUUUUUCCCUUUGAUGCCUAGGGAAAAGAAAGCAGAAUAUAUUUAUUUUCACUAUAUUUAAAAUGUCUUUUGUAAUAGAAAAAUGAAAAUUACAAGGCAAUGGCACACUACCACAGAGGACAUAGUGUAUUCACCAGCAGUAAUAUUGUAGUCCUCUGAUCUGCCGUAUCCAUGGUUUCAUCUUUGAAAAUGUGAGCAUAAACAUCAUGCGGAUGGGAAAAAGUCAGAAACAAAUAAAGGUUUACUUGGAUUGUGGAUAGAUGGGCUAUAUCCUUAUAGAAUCAGUGUAGAUUUAUUACCCAAAAAGACCUUCUGAAAAAUCUCACCUAUAUAUUAAGAAUGCAGAGGCCACUGUGGAGAUCUGCAAAAUUUUGUCAGGUCAGUACUAGUGGCAUCGCCAUUAUCUCCUUUAAUGAGUCUUGUAAAUGACAAAGUGUCAAACAAUUAACACAUUUCCCCCCUAGUCUUGCACUUUGGAUAACACAUACUCCCCACAAGUGGGAAAGAAUCUAUUUUGGCUUACUUUCAAUUUGUGCAACAAGGGCACAAAUCUAGCCUCAAGAGCAGUGAGUCUGGUAUAUCAUUACUGUUUUCUGCAGGUACGUACACACAUUUAAAAGACAGGAAGGCUUCGGUCUGAGCUCACAAAAUUACUAAUGAUGAAGCAAAAAUUACUGUUGGCAAAUAGGCACUUUGCAUAAUGUGUGAAAUAUUUUAGCACCUUUAAAAAGUCAUGUCAAGUGAUAGGAAAAUACUCUUCCUCCUUGCCUUUGUCUGAAUAAAAACAAAAAUGAGAAACCUUAAUAGCUCUAGUUGAAUUUAUAUAUUCUUUAGUGUUUAACUUCAGAUGCAGUCAUCAUCGUUUUUGGCUGAUAGUACAGGACAAGCAAUAUAUGGGUGAUUUAAGAGCUGGAAUUAAUAGAUAUAAGCAAAGACCUCUAAAAAUUCAAUGCAACAGAUCUGAAGUCAUGUUCUCAUUCUGUGUGUACAAAAUUACUCAGAAAGUAAUUUAGCUCCUCCUAAUAAUGUUUCCUUUUGUGCAACACAACUUGAAGCAAGGCACAACAUCCCAGCUUCUCUCACUGAAAAAGAAAGUUUGGCCUGCCAGCAAAUGCAAACUCAAAUGCAAUGUGCCAGAUCUGAACAGCUGUAUGUAUCCCACUUCUCCCGAGGCUCCAUCACAUGCCACAUGCCAGUCACCAUAAUUAGUGAGAGUUAGAAGGAAAACUCACAGUACAGUUAGGAAAUGUACAGCAUUAUACAUAAAUAAAAGAUUAGUGCUCCCUAGUGCUCUUGUCUCUUCUCUUUCCUCCCCACAGACCAAUAACAGUGUUGAAUUCUGAUGAAGCAAAGCAUGGUUCAACCUCAGGCAUUUUGUGAGGCAGAAAGCAAUUAAUCGGCAUUAAAGUGAUACAUAACAACAUACUUUUUUUUUUCUGGUGGGGAAACGGUCAACUAAAUAGUUAACUUCGGCGCUAUGAACACAUUUUAACCAGAAAUUUACAUUCUUACUUCAUUUGUCAUUCACCACUGUAAAAAAAACUUCUACCUGAUUCAUCUAAGCCUUCAAAGAUGGUUUUAACUCUAACCUGCCUAGACAGUCUAUGGAAGCUGAAGGAUAAAAACAGGCCUAAUAUUAAAUGCAUGCUUAAGUGUUUGCUGAAAUGAGAGCUUGGAUUAAAUUCCGAUUGGGUGAUAAAUUGCAGUAGGAGAAAAUACAGUAGAUGUUUUCACCCAUGAUUCUCCAGUCAACAGCAUGAAACAGAGAAUAUUACAUUGCGCCUCCUGUAAGAACUAAUGAAGCCUAAUGCAGUUGCUCAUUUGUUUGUUUGUUUGUUUGUUUCCUGGAAGCACAGACAGAUGCAGGGAAGGAGAGAAAUAAAAGGGAAAUACUGAUCCAAAAUCCUAUCCGUACAUGAUGCUUUUGUUUCAGUUUUGUAAAAUUUGUGCCUUCUGAUGUCUGGGCACACCUAGCGAGAAAAUAUCAAAGAAAUUCAACAAUUUUCUGGCUUGAUUAUCGAAAAUGCUAUGUUGAAAGAACCUAUGAGGUGAGGCACAGCAAGACGGACAGUGUGCCUACAUCUUUCAAGUUUACAACUGUCAAAUUUGUUAAACUAUGCUAUUUUUAGUGAAAUUACAAUUUGGAACUGGCACAUUGAUUCCACACAGUUGGAGCCUGCUUCAAUGCCAGUGAACAUACUUUGAUUUAUUGCUCUUUUAUUCAGGUCAGGAACCAUAACCUUGGGUGCAGCCAACUCAUCGGUCUCUGUGCUUGAGACAAGAGGUGAAUAUGGCCUUUAGAAUUAAAACAGUUUAUGCUAUGAGGGAGAAGAUGACCUGAAACAAAUUUUCUGUAAUUAGCUAUAACUAAAUUUGCCUGCAACUUAAUGAAACAGACAACAGGAUAGGAAAAGAGAGUUGGUUAUUAUUAAGGAAAAUGAAAUCUGGAAGUUGAGAAUGAGCUUAAAUAAAAAAAAAAAAAAAAAAAAAAACAACCAAAAGAAAACAGAUAACCACCAAGAUAAUCAUUUCUUAGAUAAAUGGGGACUGGAAGAAUUUUAAGGAGGUGUCACUAGAAACACCGUAAGUAUCUUGAAGUAAGACCAGAAAACAAUAAACAUCUGACAAUAUUUAAUUUCUCUCAUCCAUUCAACCUCAGUUCAAAUGUUACUUGUGCAUUCUCUAUACUUUGAUCAAUAAUGUACCAGUAUGUGAAGAACAAGCAACAUCAUCUGCACUCAAACAAAGAAAAGAAAACACAGUAAAGUUGAGGGAGGUGCUAAGAAGGAGAAGAGACAUGGUCCUUGAAAUGCCCUUUCUCAAAAUUAGGAGGAGAAAGAUGGCAGUUACACAAGAAAAAUUAGAAACGUAAGCAUCCAUUGCUUCCUUCAAAACCAACACAUUUCAUUUGAAUCUUCUGAAGACCUGUAUAAUAACAGGAGGCGUUUACUGCACUGUGCUGAGUACAAGAACUGUCUCCAUUAGUGCUACUAGGAGACAAUGAAAGGAAAUUCAACCUUUUUUGCAACCUGACAAAUCACUAACAGUCCCUCUCAGUCUGAUGGUGGCUAUGUUUGAAAAGCCUAAUGUUAUGACAGAUGUCAAGGAGAAGCAUAUAAAAAAAAAGGCAAUCUUAAAACAAAAUCCAUGAAAAUAUGUAACUUGUAAACCUGGCACUAUUCCUUUAAAGUGAAAACAAUUAAGCACCAUUUUAAGCAAAGUAGCCAGAGGGAAUGACAGAAAUCAAAUAUUUUUAUUUCCAGAUUAAGUAACAUUAAGAGAAGAAAAACACAAAACACAAAGAAUAAAAAGGAUUGGUUCUGCAUUGCUAAACCAUAAGGGACAAAAAACAGUGUUGGCAUAACAUUUUUCAUUAACUACAGUAAAAGCAAAACGUACAUAUCAGUGUUACACAUCCUCUUCUUGCCUAAGGCUCUGAUUAAGUUCCCCAAACUUCUUUUGCUCUACAGCUUUUAAUGCACCACCACAUAUUUUUCUGCUAUCAUUGAACAUGUCAGAGAAAUAUCUCUGCAGCACACUAAAUCUAGGUUAAGAAUCAUGGAAACAACAAAUUUUUUUUUCUUACUUGAGAUAAAAAAGCGGCGAUGGUAAGGGAUUUUUUCUAGUUAACUACAUCCGUAUCUGAGAAAUAACAGCCAUGGUUUUGUUACAGCCACAAGUACUCAGGUCACCCAAAGUAAUUGGUGGGUAAUGGCCGCUUGGAGAAUUUAUUUUGCAUAAGAAACCGUCCUGAUACGAAUUGGUACAAGUGGCAUGGCCUCUUCCCAUAUAAAUUCCUUUCAAUUUCUGGUAUAUGCUAUAUGUGCUUAAGGGAAUACAGCAGAGGAAUAUGCAGUCUCUGGAAAUUUACUGAACCACAAUAAGAAAGAAUAGUUCCUUAAUUUUUCACCUCACUGCAUCUCCGAACUGUACAACACUUCCUUGACAGAAUUCCCUUUUCUUUACAAAAGGCCAUAACAUUUACAGUCCACAAUAACUGCUGGGUUGUGACAUCAGUCUUUGUGAAGGCAGGAAAACAGUACUCCUGACACAGACAUCCAGACUGGUGAAGACUGAACAGUUACUGGUUCACACCUAUUUGGAUAACAACAUACGUGCAUACAUUCAGGUGCUCAUAACUUCUCCCUCCUCUUGUUUCUAAAACAGGAAUUUUUUCUUCCAUGUUGUUUAGGAUCCACAGAGGGGAAAGGAAAGCCGUAUAAUGAGAUGCAGUAGAGUGCACAUAGAAAUAAUAUAGAGUAUAUAGAUAAUAUGGAUGUAAUAAAAGAAUAAAAACUGCUAACAAACUUCCCUUUGCAAGCAAGAUUUCCACUGUGCAACACACAAAUAGAACAGUACCUACUUCACCCUCUCCAGCCUCAUGAACUUUUGGGAAGUGGGGUAAUAUUUCAGUAUUAAUAAAAUAAGAUCAGCUGUUAAACUGAUACAGAAAUCAUCUUUGGGCACUAGCAAGCCAAAUUUUCCUUGCAGCAUGAAGGAAGAAAUUUUCAUCAGUUUAAAAAUGAUGUUUUGUGUAUUUGACUUACACAGAUACUCCCUUCACAAAGAUACAUGCUUCCUAACAGAGGAGCAAACUGCAUCUAAAAUUUCCUCCUCCUCCUCCACAGGACAUUACAGAGCAGCUGCAAAAACUGGGUUUAUCAAGUUCACAUACAAAUAGCCACCUUGGAGGAAAGAUGGCACAUGGAUCUCCUCCCUCAGCUCCUCUCAGCAGCCCAGAGGUUGCCUGCAGUACUGGGACAGCUGCUGAUAGGUGGGCAGCUGAUGAAUGACACAUGCUUAGAGGGGAAAUCCAUGGAAAGAUAGGAAUGAUCUGCAUUUUUCACCAAAUUAAAACUAAGGGGAAAAAAAAGACGCAUCAACUACCGAAUGCUGAAAUCUAACUGAACUGCUGAGCAUACCCUUUAAGUGAUAUUUCUAUAAACAGCUUGGAAAGCCAAUAAGGCACGCGAGAAAAUUUACUAUUAUUUUAGACUUUUGCAGACAAACUUGUUCUAAAGGCAUUUACAUAGGUGUGGAGAUUGAUGUAAGAAUACUGAGCCGUGCACUUCGUUUUAUAUUUCAAACCUUGACUGACUUUUUCAGGCACCAUUAAUAUCUCCUUUAUGUACUGAGGUUUGCGUGAAGCAAAUGUACAAUCUGUGCGCAUUGUCAGACUUAAAACCAUUGAGAUAAUGCCUUGGGAGAGAGGUCCACAAAUAAGCGGUCACUCCUACCAGCAAUAAGGUUUAUGCUUAAGUGAGGUUUCUACUCUGCACCCCUCCCUGCAGAAGCAGAGGACCAAACACAAUUGUGCUUGUAGUGAUCAAAAAGAAGUAUAGGUAUUUUCAGCAUUUUUAUGCCAGCAACCCAGUUAGCUCUUAAAUGAAUGAACCCAAGCAAUUCGUGCAAGGAGCUCCAUCAUCUGACACAGCUGCAUUGAUAUCCAGGUUAGAACUCCAGAACUAAAUAUUUGCAUUAUAUCUGUGAUAUUAGAUCCUCACCAAGCCUCCUGGAGGCUGAAAAUUAUUAUGUUGUUAUAUUUAUUCAUAUCUCUGUAUUGCUAAAAUCUGCCUGGAAACAAUGCGGAGACACAAGAACAAAAAAAAAAAUUCUGCAUUUCAAACCCAUUCCAAAGUCAAAAUAGUAAUAAUAGCUUUUUUUUUGGAGGUUAACAUCAGGGGUUUUUCAACAAAUGGAGUACUAAGGAGGUUCAGACUGCCUGAAAAGAGUAAGUCAAAGCAAAAUACCAACAUUUUUGUUGUACCAUGUAUCACAAUUACUGUUAAUAUACUGCAUUUGAUUUAGUUCCAGUUUCACAUUUCCACUGACAGUCUCCAUAAAAUCAGUGAAAAUUUAGUUACUGGAUUUCUCAUGCCAAUCUCCUGAGUGCAGAAAAACUUUUAGACUAUGUCUAGAAAAAGAUCAUUUAAUAUUGCCAGUAAAACAUCUCAUGCAGAGGCUAGUAAAUAAAACAGUUUCUCUUAUCUAAUUCUAAUGUACUACAUAAUGUGUGAAAUCAUUCCUUGGCAGACAAGCUGAAGGAAUUGGGUGGUUGUUUUCUGUCUUCCUCACUGUCUCCUUCCUUCAGCAGUUUCUCAAUUCUGUAUUUGCCAUGGAACACAGAAAUGACUCAACUUUUUCACCUGAUAAAAUCAGAUUUUUAGCUAUUUUAACUCAAAGAAAUUCAAAACCAGUUGUUUCUUAUAAUCACUUAAGGAAUGAGCUAGCUUGAACAAUUAUACUUCACAAAAACAUUUUCAGUCAUCUUCUAUCAGGGAGAAUGGAUCAUUAUUUGCAUUGUGAAGAAUAUUGUGGCAACCUUCCAGCAGCUGGAAGUGGCUGAAAAGGCUGAGGAACUCCACAGUGCGCUUCAUCACAAGGCAUUAUGUGACACCGCUGUGUGAGGGUAGAAACAGCAAACGUAACCUUCAGGAAAUGUCCUCAUUUGUAAUAUCUGGAAACUGGAUGUAACUCUCAGCACUUGUGUUUCAGAGAGAGUAAUUUGCUGCGGAACAGGCAAAGAGCAAACCUACUGGGAUGGUGAGAAUGGGGAGUCUGUCUGAGCCUGAUUUGUUUAGCUUUCCAAAAUGAAAGCUGCAAGUUCUUAUGAGUGCUAUCCAUAAAUGCACCUGGAGAAAACAUAUUCAGUCUGAAAAAUAACACUGAAUCAGGAAGCAGUGUACAUGAAGUAGCCAUGAUUAAGUUGCAGCUGAAAAGUCACAGGAUGGAGUACUGCCUGUGGUGCAUCAGGAUUCUGUAACUCUCUCCCAUUACCAAUUGGACAAAAUGUUUGACUCAUUUGAGAAGUGAGCUUUAUUAAAUCAUCUAGUCACUUGUACAAUCCAGAAGUCUGGAUUCAUUAACCUUGAAGUGGCAUUUUCUAUCUGGUCCAACACACAUCUGUUUGUGCAGCAUGUGCCAGACCAAGCAUUUCAUGUUCUCAGUUUGAGAAUGAUUUUUACUUACAAGCCACACAUUUUUCUUUUUAACUGAAUUAAGGCACUACGGGGACACACGGGUUUAAGAUUACAGGGAACGAUGAAUGGUGAAUUAUACCUCAGGCUACCAAUACAAAACCACUGGAAGAAAACUUCGCUUUUCAAUCUCAAGCCUUGCAGAAUGUCCCAAGUUUUUCCCCCUUCAAUUUCCUUGAGUCUCCUUUCCAUCUUUGUUCCCUCUUAACUAGCUCUAACAUCCCACUCGCAGACAGUCCACGUGUCUACAACUCACUGGUAGACAUUAUAUUCUCAAUAUUUUAUUACAGCUAUUAAAAGCCAUCACAGGAUUGGUUUGUUUCUAAGUUUCCAUCAUUUCCUAUUUUAAUUAUGGAUUGUUUAGCUGAACAAAGCCAUAUUAAAUGAAAAGCACGGUGAAGGAGUAGAGGAAGAACUUUACAAUCACAGCUGACAGCUUAGCUAUUUAUGCUGUAAAUGCAUCAUAAAUAAUUUCUGAGGACUUCAUACAUUUCUGUACAUGGUCUGUAGCAGGCUCAUAAAUAGAUUGAUAAACGUAUAUUAACCAGUGAUAUCCAAACCUCAAAGUAAAGCACUGGCACAGCCUUCUCUCAAAAGCAUCAUGCUUGUUAUAACCUCCAUAGACUCGUUCUUUGUAAGCAGACAUAAUGAAUAUAGGGAACAUUUUCAAAAUGAGAAUUAUCAGAUCAACUUCUCUUACUAAGUAUCUCAAAUACCUGAGAAGAAUCAAAUUUCCAGAGACUCUCAACUCAGUCAGAAGCACGCACCAUGUCAGCUUUCACCAUAAACCUGAGAGCAGUGUACAGCAUGUAUGUCAGCAACUUAACAGCACCCUCUCCCUACAUUAAAAAGAAAUUUGCAAAAACUAAAAAAAUCUGUUUUCCAAAAUGAUAUUUUGGUGAACAAGUCUUAAUUAACCCCAUGUAAAUAUAUUUGCCAUUUUAGUUUCUAUAUUCUAAAACUUCUUAUCUUAUCCCAUACAUUUCUGAUGCCCCAUGACCUCCUCAUCUGCCUUAUGUCUGCAAUAGGACAUACUUAACUUCUCUACAGCCAUGUAUGUACUAUGUAUAAAGGAAUAAUAAAAAUUUAGAAUUUAUAAACUUAGAUAUUUUUUCCAGAAAUAGAGUCAGUGACAUAACACAACAAUGUACAAGGAUUAAAAGAGACCAGACAUUUAUGGAAGUAAAAACUGUCUUGAAUUAGCUCUGUCCCUUUACCCACCUUGCCUUUCCCCCUGCACCAUCCUCUUCCUCACCUUCCUGCUCCCCAAGCCAGCCUGCAAUCUCCUAGAGCAGGGACAUGCAAACCAGCACAGCAGAUAACAUAGAUUCCUUAAGGUUUGAUCAGUGUGGUUUUUCUGUUUGUUUGUUUUUUAAUUGCUCUUGAGGAUGGCCCAACCUGAAGAGGUACCUGGACAGCUGCACCAUAGCCUAACAAGAAUGAGAACUGAACAUGAAAGGUUACAGAGGGAUAGAAUGUGCCAAGAAGUGAAGGAACACUGGAAAUGACAGAAAGAAAUCCAAAGACGAUAAUGAUGAUUUAGUCUGAUGUGCUGCAAGACCUGAGUGCUGUUAAAUGGGAAAAAAAAAUUGUAUUAAAAAAAGUCUUGGGAGACUAAGUGAGUACAGCUUCAUACAGAACGUGAUUCAGAGAUAAUCACAACAUGAAGGAAUGGAAAAUGUAAGCACAUUACGUGUAUUAAAAGACACAAUGAUAGCAGAGUAGCAUGGUAUGGUAAGACUGUGAAAAAAAAUAGGGAAAGCACAGGAAUGACAGUGCAAAAUCUUCUGUGAUCAAAUCAUUUUAGAGAAAUAUGGUAAAAUAAUACUAGGCUCCAUUAAAGAUCUCCACAGUUGGACUUGAAUUAAGCCAGAGGUCUUAAUGUUAGAGAAAUUCUGUCAAAAAUGUUUUCAACUUUGCAGAAGGAGAGGAAAAAAUGGCAGGAGGCAGAUGUCACGUGGCAGCAAUUACUGCAUUUCAGGGAUUCAGAACAAACAAAAGCAGGAAUAUCCCACUUCAGUCAUCCUCCCAGUACAAUCUCAUCACAGAACAUCUCUAUGAGAUAUUCUUUUUGACAGCUGUAUUAUUAAGAUAAUGCUAUAGGAGACUUGCAAUAACAUCUAAUUAUGUAGAAACAGAGAGGAAAAGAUUUGGAUCAAAUGUCCAGCCACAGAAGGAUUACAAGCCUGUAAUACCCUACAGCUGUGAAAAAUUAAACUAGGAGAGGUAUUUGAACAGUACUAGUGAGGCCUCAUCUGGAAUAACGUAUGCAGUUCUACUCAUCUGGAAUAACAUAAGCAGUUCUACCCAAGGAAAAUAAAUUCUAUCUGCAUUCGUAGUAUGUUUGAGGGAAUCACCGUUUAUUUUAAGAGGAGAUCCUUGGUUUGUAUAACCUCACAAAAUGAAAGUUGAGAAGGAUUUUAUCUAUUUUCCACUCUUCCUUAUCGUAGGGCUAACCAGCAGCAAGAAGGAACUGUUCAGCUAGAGGUUGAUGUUGGCACUAGAACAAAUUAUUCAAACUGGCCAUAAAUACACUUGGGUGAGAAAUUACAGUAUUUCUAACUACUUAGUAAGCAAAAGGGAAAAAAAGGAAUAGAUGCAGCAGACUCAAAAACAAGAAGUAGUUUGGAUAAUCAAUAUACAGAAAUGAUAAUGUAAACGUGGCUGCAUGAAAAGGAUUUGAUCAACUAAGAGGCUUUUCUGUUUGCCUACAUUCUUGUUUUUCAAUUCUAUCAGUCAGGCUUUCUCCAUCUCAGGUCCAUACUUCAGUGGAUCAGUCCAUCUGCCACGUGCCCACAGUGCUGGGAAGCCAAGGAAAUGCACAGCUACCCUGACACUGAGCCUUGCUUACUGGCACUGCCAGUAGGAUCCAUCGUGAGUUACUGAGUCAUGUGAAUUAAGGAGUAAAAAAAAACCCACAAAACCAGGCUUGCCAGAUGUGCUUUUUUCACAUAUUUUGACAAUUAUGGUUGGGCUUAAUCAUUUAUGAUAAUACUUCAUAAUGCUCUAGCAAAUGCUCUGGAGUAUACUCUGUAAAAAAUAAUGAAGUCUUAAGUAACAUGGCAACUCACUCAGCUUUUAAAUUUUUGCUCAGAAGCAGAAGGAAACAGCUUGUGUUUUCUGCAGAUUAUGGAGAACUACCACAGGAAAAUUAGGAACAUUUCCAUUAUUGCUUCUCUAUCUCUUUCUUAAGCAUUAAUUGUCAUUAACUACUGUAACAUUACCAUUGUUAUGAAGCAACAAGACACCCACAAAUAAUAUCUUCACAGCACUAAAGGAAGAAAUGCUAUCAAAUAGUAAUAUGGAGUUGUACAAAAGAAACUACAGGAAAGGAAAGGACUAAUAAUUUGUGUCUAAAUAAAAGUCAGCACUCUAAUUCUCACUGAAAGCCAGCUGUCAAGUCCUGCAUAACUUAACCAUCUACUCCCUUAUUGUGGCUUUGCUCAGCAAUUCAGCUGGCUGUAAGAUAUCACAAAAAAAAAAAAAAAAAAAAAAAAAAAGGCUUCCUUCACUUAAAAAAAAAAAAAAAAAAAAAACCCACGUCAUUCCGAUAGAAAUUUUCCAUCUGACUCCUUUAUCACAACUUCUGGACAGGGUUGGAUAAGCACCAAGCACAGCCACGUGAUCUGGCAGAGCUCAUUUAUGAAACACAAUGUUGAUAUGUAAGCAGUUAAGCAUCUUGUGUCAGUAACACUGACACGAUCUCAGCUUUGAAAAAUGUCAACAAUUGAACAGUGCCUGUACUUAAUUUCAAGGAAAUUAAGGAAGUCUGUGGAAUUCAAAUAAAUUUGCUAUUUCCAUACUUCCUUGUUUUGCUGAUUGGCAGCAGUUGCCACUGUAACAUAAGGUGGAAAAUAGGAACAACUUGCACAGAUCUAUCAUAUGUUUCACAUUCUGUAAGUGUUUAGGUGGGAAGGAGUUAUUGUUCCAAAGCUCAAAAAGAGGUAACAGAGUAUUCACUGCAGAUGCAAGUCUGAGGCACUCACCAUUUCAUAAAAGCAGAAUCCUUCCAAAUGUUGUGCCAAUGGAGACAGUAAACUGACAAGAAAUGUAGAUCAAUGUUCUUUAAACAUUUCAGCUUUUCUGAUAAGCAAACAUUUCAGUCUGUGUAAUAUUGUCAAACUACAGCUGCAGAGAAUUUUGAAGAGGCUCCUAUGCAUGCUUUAAAUAUUCCUAUUCCUUUCUACCAGAAAAUGUUCUCAAGAGAGCAUAACGCCAACACAGUUCUGUUCAUAUUGCAGUCAGCUCCCUGUAUCAACUCUGGGAGAGAGUAUGGGCAAAAGCUCAAUGAAAGCUUGGAAUUCGAUGUCACUGCCUGACUGAGGCACUUCACAAGUUGCACCAGAGGAAACAGGAAGAUAAUUUGCCUCUGGAUUUGUGCAUUAAAAACAUAACUGAUGUUGCAGAGAGAAAGGAUUUGGCAAAACAGGCAGAAGGCUACAGGCAUUGCACUGCCAUUAAAUUAGCAUUUAAUCUUUCCUUUACAAGACACAGCAUUUUCCUCAGAAAAAAAAAAAAGAUCUUUGCAAGAUAGCAGACUCUGAGAUCUGUCAAAUAAUCAAAAAGCUGAUUUCUUGGCAAAGAAAAAUCUUCCCAAGAAAUAAGACUUUUUGAAUGACACAUAGAGAAAUGACAGGAAAAUAGGGAGAACUUCUUGGUUCACAGGAAGAAAUUUUUAUGAGCUCAUGCCAGGAGGCAAAAAUAAUCUUUAAUAUUUAGAAGAUUUUAUAGAUAUGUGGAAGGAGCUAUAUAAAAUUUAGAUUCCACCAUUAAAACUGAGUCUAAAAUGUGCAAGGAAAUAAACAGAGUAAUGCACCUAAGGCAACAUACAGCCCCAGGAGCCUUAGGCCUGUGUCAUGAUUGAGGAACAGCAAUUUGUAUAUUUGGAUCUGUAUGCUGCAUGUACAAAGACUAGCACACAAAAAUUUGAAAGGCAGGGAGGUACUAUCAUCUUUGCAAAUUAUUUGUAUUUAAUAGGGUUUUUUUUCUGCAUGAAUCAGUAAAGGUUUCAAAUUGCUGUCCUUCCAUUGCUCACCAUUGGGAAAAACAAAAAAUAUUCUGUAGAAAUACAUGAUAAUUCAAUAUCCACUUAAAUUAUCUUCUUUAUAACUUUACUCCUCCUUUUCAUUUUUAAGAGCUCCUACCAAGAGGCAAAAGUAAUAUUUAACCAUCUAAGGCCAGUCUGAAAACAAAUCAAGCUGACAGUUUAGAAUGCACCAUCAAUGACUAUUUACUUUCCAAUAUACACUAUUUAAUAGAUCGGUUAGGAUGAUAGAAGUCAUACUCUAUGCUUGUGAGACACCAAGUAGAGAUGUUUUCCAGAUGGCAGAAACCUCCUAUAUCUAGGUGAUAAAACACAGAAGAUGUGUAACAAUACCACUACUAAACUUUCCAGAAGCAAGAAAACAAGCUGGCUUGCAGAUCAUUUUACAAUGCCUUACCAAUAUUUUGGCAAUGGCUUUCCCAAUUAAAAAAAUUAACCUGAUAGUUCCUUCUUACUAUUUACAAUAGCCAAGAUCCACCAGAGAAACUGAAAGCAGGAAUAGCAGUAGCAUCUAGAAAACUCGACUCUCACAUCAUAUAUUAAAGAGAUUGAGAUUUUCAGGUUUCACAAGGACUUCAAGGGAAUUUAUGUUACAGCAUUUGAGCUCAUUACAACAGCUCAAAAUCGAAGAAGAUCAGAAAUGCCAAAAGAAAACAAAAGAUGUGUCUAACAUUUUCCCCAAAUUCAACUUGUGCCUAUGAUUUUACAUCGACAUAGAAAAUGAUAGUAACAACAGAGUCAAACACCUUUGCAUCAAGUUGGUUCGAAGAAGUGACAUUAAAGAUUGUGUCUGCAUAGCUUUAUGAAUAGUAAAGCCUUCAUGUUAAUAAAAAGGCUUAGCUAUGCACCCCUCCCAGCCUUAUGGAAAAACAAAUUUAAUUAAAUUGCUUUAAAGGAACCUAGUGUCCAUAAAUUUUAAUGACGUUUUAAUGUCCCUAUUUUAAUGACUUUUCACCUGACCAUCUCAUGCCUUUUGAUACACUACACAACUCUUUUGAACUUCUCCUGUUGCCUCCUCUCUGAUUGUUGGUUGUAAAGGAAACCCGAGAUUCCCCCUCAUCAUUCAGCUGAUUUAUCCUAGAGGAACAUCAAGAAUGAGUGUCUGCUCUUAACAAAUUUCCAGUUUCAAUUUUACAGUGAAAAGUAUACAUCCCUACAGAUGAGCUGUAACAAAACUAAUUUCAGAAAUCAACCUUCUGACACUUCAUGCACGUGCCUAUUAAACAUUAUUCACAUCUGAACAGUAACAUUUCAGAGAUACGUGCAAUGAACAUCGAUGUACAACUAAAUCAACAUCAAAGGCUAUUAAUAAGGACCAUUUAGUAAGUUGAUGACUAUUGUCUAUUCACCUAGUGUAUGUAACCAGAGUUUCUUGGAAGUCUUAAUACUCAAGUAAAGCUCCAGGUUGCCAUGGAAAGCAGCAGCAGAAGGCAGCAUGGAUACCAAGGUGUAAAGUGAUAUAGGGUUAUCCAAUAGUUCAACAUAAGAAAAAAAGGCCUCUGUGGUCUUAUCUGGUAUUGAUUCACUUCUUCAUACAUCACCUCUCUCACUUUCUGGACAAAAAUAAAAUAAAAUCAAGCAAUUUACAGCACAGAAAAGAUUUUUUUGUGUGUGUGCAAGACAAUGUUUACUUCUCUCUAUAGGAUUAGGCAGGUACCUAUUUGCAGGGAACAGGGGAUAACCUGGAUUAAGUUUCUUGCUGCUUCUAGGGAGAAAUAACUUGUUUGCAAAACACUUCUGAGGCAACUGAGCCAUUCAGAAAGAUUAAAUGAAUUCGGAAAGAAGAGAAAAAUGGUGGUAAAGGAAAAUACUCAGAAAACAAAGAUACAAUCAAGAAAAAUAAUAUACUGAAAUGAACAUAUGGCAAGUACUUAUUGGCAUAUACCUGUUAAACUUCCCCUGAAGAAACAUACCACAUAACCAGAAAGUAAAACAAGAUGUGACAGAACAAUAAGAAAUACUGAAAGUAGCAUAUAUAAAAAAAAAAACAGUUAUAAACACUUAGCAAGCUAUUGACAACUGUUUUCAUGAAAUGUAGCUCCUUGAUCAGCAAUAGGAAACAUUCCAAUCAAUGUGAAGUCUAUGAACUGACUAUUUAUCCACGAUAUUACAAUUCCUUAAUUUCAUCCUAGGAUGCUCAUUAUUAAAUGUUUGAGUAUUUUCCACCUAUAAAAAAAACACAGCAUAAUAACUCCUCUAACUGGAAACAGAAGGUCAUUCGACAUCUUGAGCUGGUAAACUAUGAAACAAAGACAUAUGUCCUUCAGACACUGUGGUGACAACACUGAGAUGGAACAAAUGUUUUCAGAAGGCCACUGCAGGAUGGACAAGCUGUAAGCUUGUUACGGUUAUGCAGAGAACCGUUCACAUGAUAAUACGGAAUAAAGAAGUCAAGUCCUUUAGAAAGCAUUUAUGUCACUGGAAGAACCAAAGGAUCUGUGUGCUGUGCAGGUGGCAUCAGAAACUUGCUAAAAAGAGAUAGUGCAGCCCAUUGCUUGUUCAGUACACAUCUUGUAUACUCAGAAGGUCUUUUUCAUAAAAUUAAGAUCUAAAUGUUCAGAAAAAAUAUUACUUUCUCGUGAGAAUAUCCUAAUGAGACACACAUUGAGAUCUUUGAGGAUGAAAUGGCUGCUGAAGAUUUGUCAUAUUCUCCAGGAAAGCACCUCACAUUCACAGUCAGAUGCCUGCAAGCCUAUAGCAAUGCGUCCUUCUCACUGAUUCACUGAAGGGUGAACCAUACAAAUACUAAAAAUAUUACCUUGCAUUUCUUCUAGGAUGAAAAGAUGAAAAUAACCAUUAAGCCUAUACAUAAAAAGUCAUAGCACUUGUUCUUCUCUUGUCUGUAAUGGCCAGAAAGAUUACAGUUGUCUUUGAAUCAUGACAGCACUUUAGUAAUGGAAUGUACUCAAAGGUAAUAACAACUGACCCUCUCCCUUCCAACAGAUGAACAAACCUGUGUUACCAGAACAUCUUUGUUCUUCCAGUAGAGAGCCAAACUAGACGCAGCAGCAGACAGCACAGCAAUAGCAUGAGUAGCACUGUCUAACUUCCUCACUGCUGAUCAUCCUUGAGAAACUACUAAUUAGUUAGAAACUUUAAAUAGGCACCUUCCACUGGUUUCUUUAUGAAACCAUGUCAUUCAUCUCAUUUAAGUGGAACUCCAAGAAAUGAAUGUGUGGAGUUCAGAAUAACACCUUUUUUUUUUUUUUUUUUUUCUUCCCCAGAAGGAUUUUUCUCAUUUUGCUGUUUUCUUUUCUUUUUUUAAUUGCCCAGAUUCACCAUUUUUGUGAUUGAACACCCCUUGGGAGGUGAAGACCACUUAGCUAUUUAUUCACACAAGCAAAGUGGCUUUGAAAAAAAAUUGUGUUUUCAUUUUCAGACUUCUGACAAAUGAGAUCGACUCAUUAGUAAUUAAGAAGUAUACCUUUAAUAGCUCAUCCUUUUGGCAUGCAGAAAGACAGAGGAAAGGAAAUAGAAUAGUUCUGGAGAAUGAGUUUGUCAAAUGUGUGCGUUUUCUCACAUGAGAAAGGUGAAAUUCUCACAUAGUUUAUUUUUUCCAAUUUUCUGUCCUGCCAUCUUCAUCUGUAAUGAUUGAUCAAAUAUCUCAAAGCACUCUCAUGAGACUAACAGUUCAUGUUUGAUGACAGAAGAAUAAUUCUGGAUCUGCUACCACUUCUAGAUAGCCAUAGCACCUAGGAGUUUAUCAUCUAAACAUUACCCUUGUGACUAUAAAGAGAGAUGUAGGUGCAGGUUACAUUGUCAGUAUGUUUUUGGAUAGAAAACAAGCACUUGCUUGUUUUAAUACAGUACUCACAUUCUAAAUUUAAUUUAAAGAACUAUCUCAAAACUACACAUAAACAAGAAAAAAAACUGUUACAAGAUACCCUACCCUAUUCAUUUAUUCUAACAUCUUCUGCUACUGCCUCUGAAAUAAUACUCUUCAUUUCCAUUAUUUCCUGUCAAGAAGAAAUACAGUCACAUUUGCUUACUGGUGUUGCAGAAUUUCAUAGCCUUACUGCAAUACGGUCAGCAGUUAGCAAUACUUUUAAAGCCCCAGCUGUUUUAGGUCUAUUUCUUUUUAGAAAUCACUUAUUUUACAUCUGCAAAACGAGGUUAGUGAAGAUUUAACUCUAUAACAACACCUACACAUUUGAAAUGGAUUUCUAUAAAACAAAACAAAACAUUUAUCUUAUUAUUUGCAUUCGACAAUUCUGCAUCUAAUUUGAUUUGAAUUCAAAAUAGUUGACUUCACCUCCAGCCCUCCUCAUACUCAGCCAUAUUUUCCUAUGUCUGUAUGUCUUACAGUGUUGUUCAAUCUUCAGUGCUGGAUUUCUAUUCCCACUAAUAUUAUCCUCUAAACUUCCUAAUGAAAUGUAACAGUUGUGUUUUUACUGGCUGUAGCAAGAAUUAAAAUAUAUCAAUUUUCCCAAGGAAGAAAAGAACAAUUAGAAAAGCUUCAUUCUUAACUGGAAACAAAGGUAUUCUACUAGGCCAUAGUCAAAAAAAUUCCUUUCUCAAAGCAGUAUUAAAAAUUUAUCAAAAGAAAAUAUUUUGAAAUAAAUAAAUCUUCAACCUGUGGAGUAUAACACUCAGGAGUCCUUGCUUAAACAACAAUCUAAGUAAGCCAAGCUAAGCAUUUGCAAUAACCAAUUUCCAGUUUAUUAGCAUCUUGCAAAGAUUCAAGAUUCUGUAUUUGUAGUUUUUCACCUCACCACCUCCUGAAUUUCUCUCAGCUGUUCUCAGCUAAUAAAUACCACCUCCAAAUACUUAAAUAAAUAACGUGUAGAUUAUUUUAACCUGCGUAUUUUCAGAGCGGGACUGGUGUCCAAACGACAGAGAGGCACCCAGGUAGUCCAGCAGAGUCUAUGGCCUUUUAGCUCUCACUCUUCCACUUUCUGCUCCCUUAGAGCUACCCUGGGACUUUGCUGACCACAAUAGCUUUGGGCACUCUCACCCAGAGACUUAUUCAAUCACUCAGCCAACAAUACACCUGAUUAAGAGAAAUGGCCUUUUAAUAAUCUUCUACUCCACAAAUUCAUACCCUCACAUUAUAGGCCAGAACAACAAGAGGCAUUUCAUCAACUUCAAAAGUAUAAGUCAGGUUGAUGUUCAUUAAAAAUAUAUAUUCUGCUGUGCUUUGUGUUUGAAACCACUGUCUCUAAAAUGUGUCAACAAAUGAAAGCCAACAAAAAUUGUACAGCUGAGCUGGUUGUGAUUCCCGUGCUUACGACUGACUUCCCUGGUACACAAAUGCUUAACAAUAUAUUUUGUAGUAUUUUCUGAUAUUCCUCAUUGGGAAAAAAAAAAAAAAAAAAAAAAAAAAAAAGAACAUAAAAAAAUCCAUAAGAAAUACUAUAACUGAUGUUGUAAAUAAUAGCAUACAAUAUAUUGAGUCAGUCUGAGUUGGCACUCUGUGUUUCUAUUGGAAGAUUCAUCCAUCAUCAAAAUCUUUCCUCUCCAUAUCCCACUGAAAGCUCCUAAGAACUGCUUGGGCCUCUCACAAUUAUUACAUUUUAUAGCUUAUAAAACCUUAGUCUGCUUAGGAAGGACUAAUUAACCUCAUUUCAUUAAAAUUGUAUGCAGACCUGGCUAUACUCAAACUUGCUGAGUACCCUGAUGGCUAUUCAGCUGCAGGUCACCAUACUGAAACCUAAUUAUCUAAAAAAUGUAGAUACGCCACUCUGUGAGAUGCAUGUUCGAACUUGAAUGCUUUUUGUGAGAUCAGGUCUUCAAAAUGGUUAAAUAUAUUCAUGUCAUUACAGUGUCCAAGUUCAACCACAAGCAAUAUAAGUUCCAGCAAUAAUUUAGAAAGGACCUAUCGAACAGAAAUGAGUAAUUUAAAAAGGAUAAGGAAACAUUUAUAUUUAAUCACAAGCAGCAACUAGAAGGAGAUCUACAUCAUAAUAUUAACUCUGGCUGGGAUUACUGUUGAAAAUUUUGCCAGUAACAUACAAACAGAACACACUUUGAUUAUAGUGUUAAAUUUGUUAUUAACCACUCAAAUCUAAACUGAACAACACACUGUUUUUUAAAUGAUUAAUUAGUAUGAGGUCUGAUCCAAAAGUAAUAUCUUCUAUUUUAUUAUGUUGGCCCAUUACAUCAGAGGAAGAUGUUGGUGGUAUGGCAGUAAAGGACGAACCUUCCCACCAAUACUUCCUUAAAAUUUGUUGCUGUGAGACAGAUGGCAGCAGAGGGGCAGUCUGACAAAAAGGCACCUGACAUGGAAGUGCAGAUGAAUCAGAGGUGUGGGACUGAAUUCCUCCAUGAAGAAAAAAUAGCACUGACAUUCACUGACGCUUUUCAAACAUUUAUGGAAACCAAAGAGUGCAUGUUAGCAAAGUGAGGUGGGAGUGUAUCAUCGGUGGCUGAAAUUUCCUGAAAUUGACUUAAUUUCUUAAGGAGAUGGGCAGAAUGGGGUCAGUUGGUUCCACUUAUUUGUGUGCUUAAAGAUCAUGUACUGAGGACAUUAUCAAAAUGCAACUGAUUAGUUUGCAAUAAACUGCUGUGUUAUUGGCCUUGGAGACUUGAAAAUUUCAGAGAAAUGAUGAUGACGUUGCACACUGAACAGCAAUCACAUUCACCAAAAAACAAUCGCCUAAAAUACUAUGUGAGCACAGAAUUAUUAAAAAGCACUUUAUUAGAAACAACACUGGUUUGGCUACUCUGAGUCAGGGUUAUGAUCUGUGUGUCAGGACAAGUUGAGAGGAAUUUAUGAUGUAAAAUCACUUCCUUCAAUAAGGUCUGGAGCAUCUUAGAAGAAAAUCAUUUUCUGAUUCAGAAAAAACCCUACAUAAAUCUGGAUAAAGUAUCCCUCUGUUGCCAUAUUAGCCCAGAAAAGUGAAACCAUGUCAGUAACUUGGGAGCUGUCUCACACAGGUGCAAAAUGGAGACAUGAUUAUGAAAUAGCAAUCAGGCCAUGUCAGCUAUUGCAAUCUUUAUGAAAAUAAAAUGAGCAGGGAAGACACUGUGGAAAAAGUGAUCUACCCUGAAAUUAUUUAAAAUGUCUCACUCCUAUUCUGAAUUCCAUCAAAGGAAAUUAAAAACUUCUAAAUGCCUUCUCCAGAUUCUGAAGGAGUCAGGAAAACAAUUCCAGAGGAAUUAUUUAUAGGAGGAAGAAAUUUUGCAUUGUAAUAAUAGCUUAAAUAAAAUAAUUCAAGUCAUAAAUGGCAACAGGAUCUUCCUGGGGAAAAGUUUGUACCUCUGGAGUACACUUCCCUUCAAAACAACAAAAACCCAGAUGUGGCACCUUCAAAGACAAUGCAUGAUCUCAGGGCAAAUGGCAAAUUUACUCAUUAUUUUCUAGUUUUUUGUUAUCUGCAUACAAAAGCUUUUCUCCAUUUUGACUUCAAAUUUCUUGUGCUUACUACAUAUUCUUCUGGCUGAUGUUUUGAGCACUUUUACUCUGAGUAAUUGUGUGCUGACAGUUUUCAUAAUCACUAAUUGCACUAGAUGACUCCUGUGAUCAGAAACAAAGCAUUUGGGAAAGAUUAAGUGAAUGAAACCAUCCUCUGAAUCAAUAAUUACGCUGAAGUCCUCUUAUGGACAGAUACAUUUUUCUUCUGCACAGAAUGAUUUAUCCAAUACUCCUUAGUUUCACUGCCAAUGCAAAAGCUUUGUUAAAUAUGAAAAUGUUGCAUUUUUUGUCCUUUCUGUAAUAGAGCAUUGUUUCAGAUUUCUUAAUGUUUCUAAUAAACAACAAAUAGAGCUGGCACAUAAAAUAUUUCAUGAGUGUUCGUUCCAAACAUAUGGCUAAUGAUGAAAAUUUAUAAAAUAAAAUCAUAUAAUGGCCUGGGUUGAAAAGGACCAGAAUGAUCAUCAUUCAAGGAACUAAACUGAAAAUAGUUAAAAAAAAAAAAAGACAAACAAAACUUUUGAAACAAUUCAAAAUUCAAUUAGGAUAGAUUGCAAGGUUGUUGACUUGCUAAAUAGUGCUCUCCUGGCCACAGAAAUGUUUAUAAAAUUAUUGGGAUAGCAAAUGAAAUUCAUAGAAAAAAUCUGAAAAGUUAUUAGCUUUUAAUGUAUAAAUUGGAGACAUCAGAAGAAUCCCUUAAAGAGACACUUCCAGCAGAACAGAAAAACUACAAACCUAAUCAGCCGGAGCCUUCAUUAUAAUGUCCCAAUUCCAAGCUAUUCUCACGUAGUAUUGCUGUGCACACUACGGAGUAAAAGUUCUGCUUUAAAAAUCCUGCCGCUCUUAAUUCAGUUCCUAGACUCAGCUACCUGGGCAUUCGUGGCCACAGAUACCUGUUGAAAUUUUUGUUUUGGUGUUCCCCAGCCUCUAAUAUAGGGGUUCAAGAUUAACCUUCUCAUUGCUGUUCCACAAACAGAACAAUGUAAAUGAAAGAACUAUUAGAAAUACAGGUAUUUUAUCACAUAUUCAAUGUUCUUUCAGAUUUAACUGGCUACACAGCAACAGACAGAUGCUCCCAAACGUGACCUUGAGUCACUAAUGACAAUAAAGAAAUAUGGCUAUUUUUUUUUUUGUCUCAUGCUUAACAUGGGCUACUACAAUCUUUGUCAACUAUGUCCUGUACUGAGCGAUAGAAAGUACUUUACUUCAGACAAGUUGCUUUGUUUAAUAGUGGUCAGAAACUGUGAAGAGAAACCUGAUGAAGAGGUGAGAACUUUCAGAGAACCUGUAGCAAAGGAGUAGGAACCAAAUUUUUUGAUAAACCGUGAGAAUCCACCUUAAAGGAAAAAGAAAUACAAACUAAUUACUUAAACUGCACAUGCUAACAGACUGAACAAUGGGGAAAUCCAAGUAGAACAGAAAAGCAGCACUGAGACCAAAUUCCAUGAACAGUACAGCAUAACUGCUGUCAAAGCCAAUGUCUUGGGGAGCAGUAACCUCUACUAACUCCAACAAUGCAAUUUCCUUAGCUUAAAAGGAAAAAAAAUUCACUGCCAUUUGAUCCGUACAACCUAAUGAGAGCUAAGAAGUGAAUGUUGGCACACAAUGCUAAAAGUUUUAUUAAAUUACAAACAGAAUAAAUUAUUUCUUAAGAAAGAAAUGUGACCUCAAUUUUCCUUUGAAAGGAGUGUUCUAGUCCUUGUACAUACGUGAUGACUUAUAUCCUCUUACACUUUUAUCAAAUGUAAAAGUCAAGGGUCUUGCUAACAAAUCAUAAGGAAUUGAUAAUUAACAAAAUGUUAUUUCUAAGCUGCCAGUGUCAUUGCCUUACACAACAGCAGCUAUAAAAGAAACUUUGCAGCACAGCAAAAUCGAGGUAGAUCUGCUGAGGGACAAAGUUAGUACUGAGGGCCCAAUGGCCACAAUAACUAUAUUGGUGGAAACAGACCUAUUCAGUACUAGGAGCAGUCUGCUUCCUGGGACAGCACCAGAUCACUACUGGCACCAGUAUGUGCUCUCCUGGAAGGCAUUUACUCAGUUGGCAUGUUCAAAGACUGCUCCAUGAGGCAUAUGAAAAUGUAAUUACCUGGAGGCAACCAGGACAAUUACUUCACAUACACACUCCUGAUCCAAAUCAAAAUGCUAAUCUAAACUCACUCAUUGUAACAUGCAGAACUAGAGACAUCCACACAUUUCAGUAGCUAUAGUAUUAAUGGUCUGGAAUGCAAAAAUGAGAGCUAAUUGUAAAUAACUUUCUCCUAUCUAAUCAUUAGCGAGUUUCAUAUCCUUAAGACCUGUGUACUUAAUAAUUAUUCAAGUGUCACUAAACAUAAUAAAUGCAAGUAAUACAUUUAUUAUUUACAAAAAAAAAAAAAAGAUUUAAAUAUAUACACAUAAUGAAUUGCUUCUCCUAAGUAUAAAAAAAAUACGUUACAAGUUUCCACACAUAUUCAACAGCUAAAAGGUUCCAUUUGGGCACCAUACCUCCUGCAAAUAAAUAAGUGAACAAUUUCCAAAGAGUUUCUGUUAUACGGAACUCUUCUACAGAUCUGGCCAUGACCGCAAUUACCAUGUUCUUCUGACAUGUUUAGCUUCAGCCACCUAACCUAACAGCUUCUUCUGUAGAAGCCUAGGAAUUACACCAGAUAUAGGAGAAGAUAAUGAAAACAAAAAUUAAGUCAAAACCUUUCAGAGAAUUAUGUUGAGACAGACAAGAAUUUAUAAGCAAAUCACUAGAAAUGAUUAAAUGAUGGAGCUUGACUUUAAAUGCUGUGAAAUGACUUCAGUACUGGAGGAACUUCAUUACUUUUGCAGCUUGCAUAUAAUGGAUUUUUUGGAGUAUAAUUUCCUCCCCUGAAAAGCUUUGAGAUAUUUUAAUAUGUUUGAUUAACUAGUCAAGAAGCAAAGUAAACAACUGUAAUUUUGGUAUACUAGUAUCCAAAUAACUCAGGAGAAUAUCUGUGAGCACAAUGAAAACUAAACAGAGCCAGAAAUGCCUUGUAAAUAUUACAGUAGUUGCUUCUGCCAAAAUAUUGCCAGCCAGCACAGAUUACAGUGCCAUAAUUACAGUAGAUGACAUAAAAUGAUUAUAAAUUAACAGUCUGUAGUAUGAAGUUAAACAUUAUAUAUAUUUACUAGGUACCUGCACAAAAUAUGAACAAAGGACUGUGAAAUAUUGUAAAAGAGAAAUCACCAGGGAACCUGUUUCUGUUUUAACUCAAGCUCAAUAUUUUUCCACAAAGCUUCUCACAUUUUUCUAGAGUCCUUUCCCAGUCAAGUAGUAAUUUAAAAAUGUUUCAAAAAAUAUCUAAAUAUCUUAAUUUUUACCAAAAAGUUCCAGAAAAUAGGAAGGCAAUACAUACAACGUACUCAACUAUCUGUGAUUUAGUCCUUUGCUAAAUCAAAAGCCUACAAAACGUACUCAUGCUGAUAUGACAGGAGUUCCUAAUAAAUGAGGAAAUAUGGAAUCUGGUUUCUAUGCUGCCUAUUCAAAAAACACCUGAAUUUCUGUGUUGUUAUUGCUCACUUUCAGAUCCUUCUCAUCUCCAAUUCUGGGGAAACUGGAUAGGGUUUCCCUUUCCUUGAGAUGAAAGUUUCUAGGAUGUGUUUUAGGAACCAAGCCUAAGAUUUAGAUGAUUUCCUCUGCCUACACUGCUCAGUAUUUUUGAAACUGGCACAAUUAUUACUUGUCAUUUAACUUCCCUGAACCAAAUCAGAAAAUUUACAUCUGCAAAACGUCAAGAAGAAAGGGGAAGCAGAAACAAUCCACACUAAAUCAGAGGGUGGUUUCUGUGUGAUAGUUCAGUGAUGAUAGGUGAGGUACAGGAAACAAUCCUAUGCAAUGAUCACCAAAAACUUGAGAAGUUGAUGUGAUACUAAGUUCUAUGGAUGCAAAAAAAUGUUACUACUUUCUUUUAAUGAGAUCUUUCUUAGUAUUUGAUUUAUUUUCUAAUGACAGUAUAAAGCACAUUGACACCUUUUUGUUUCCACAUCAUCACAAGUUCUCUGAAGGCUUACAUUUAAAUCUCUCUGCUAUAAUCACAGUGGUUUCAAAUUAGCAUCUUAAUGAAUUCUCCAUGGACUUGUGUCCUUAUGCGUUUUCCCUUUUCUAAUCUCAUAUCAUAAUGGUGCCAUAACUGGGUCCCUUCUGAUUCGAGCUGAAAUCAUUAUGGAACACUUAACAGCAAAGAUACACUAGAUUAAACAGAAGAGAAAUUCAGUAGCAUUGUAAAAGAGCAGAUUAUGAUUUCUGACUUUUUUAAAGCAUUCUCAAAGAAGUCAGUCUCUGUGCACAAAAGGUACCUGGUAGUCUGAAAAAUUCUUAAUAUGGAAAAUAUUCAGCUAGAAAUUUUUGAAUUCAUUUAGUACAGAACUACACUAACUGUUAACAAAACCACCCUUUAAAAGUCAAAUAAAUGAAAAACUGCAACUUAGAGCCCAACCUGGUGAUGCACACAAUUGUAUCAUGGAAAUUUAGAGGAGAAUGACAAAAGGAAACAAUAAAACAUUAAAUGAUAUUUUUGUAGCUGAUGUCUAAUUGGAGACACAGAGAUAUUUGGUAUCUACAUCAGAGUUGCUGAAUACCGGUACUUAUUUAUUUCCUUGAAAGGUAGCUGUAAGCAGCAGAACUCUGAAAAAGCUCACCUAUCUUUAGAAAGUCAACUCUACGCUGGCCUUAGUUCAAACCUAAAUGAACAUAUCUGCUUCUCCAAAUUAUACAGAAUAUUCGGAAUGAAUGGAAAAAACUAAUUCACUUAAAAUAUAUUGAAUGGAGAAAAGACACUUAGAAUUGUACAUCUCUUCAGAGGAUCAGGAUGACUAAAUCAUUGAUGUCAGUAAUAUGCUAGGCCAUAAACUGUUGUGCUAAAUAAGAUGCAGGUAAAGCUCUGUAAUGGUAAGAAACUGUCAUCUCUCUAAAGCUCCAUCUUACCGCAAAAUAUUUUUUAGCAUUGGUAACUAUUUGCAAAUACCAGAGUGAACUGUACUCUAAGGACAAACCAGCUAGAAAGGUCUGCCCAAAAUAACAUACCAACUGAACUGAACCAAGUGCAGGGAUGGAAUUGCAGAGCUUGUAACUUCCAAUAAGGAGUGCACAACUGUCAAAUGCAAAUUGCUGGAGAUAAGAUUCAUUCUGUCUCUGGGGAGAAAAUAUGCUUCUUUCAGUCUUCAGUUUUGAUUCUCAUUUGAAAUAGCUGUUCAUUUUUGCUUCCCAGUAUAGAUACGUCACAGAGAGAACUGGAGAGAAGCUGUAUAUUUUCCCUAUAACAAAGCAAAAUAUGGAGAGGAAUUCCAGGAGAACCAACAAAGUCAUUUGCAUGGAAAGUAGGAAGACUAGUGAAAAAAUAAUUGUGAAAAGACCUCUGCACAGCCACAAUUUCAAAAGACAGUAUUUUUUUUUGCCUUAAUUUACACCGUAGAAUCUAAAUUUGGCGCUUGAAGUACCUUCAGCAACUUCUAAUGCAGAUUCACUCCUAAAUUUUAGGAGACAGAAAAUGAUGUUUUAUCACAGAUUAGUUGGUAGUUUCCCUUCUCCUGUUUUAAAGUCUGUCAAUCUGACCGGUUUUUUAUUAAUUUAUUCAGUAGCUAUGGUGACAGUUCAUCUCUGUCAAUCAGCAGCAAAGGUCUAAGCCAUACCUCUCUGAAAACAAUUCCAGAAAUAUAAUAUUCUGUAGAUAAAACAAUUAUGAGACUGGAUUAACAUUAACAAAAUUAAUAUGUAUUCUCACAGUGAGAUUAUGCUCAUCUCCCUAUGACAUUUAUUUUUGCCAUCGCACAAGUGCACACAGUAAGAAAAUGAAACCAUCUGCACUGAGCAUUAGGAUCACACUACCCAAACCCGAUGAGAGAAGACUGAUGCUGGGAAAACAGGACAAAACAGAUGAAAUUUUAAAUGAUUUUUUCCUCUACUAAUAUUUCAUGUUAGUAAGUACAUAAUAAUGGAAUGCCUGUAACUUUUACAAAAGGGUGGGAUAGGAUUACAAAACUAGAUUAGUGCAAAUUCUAGUUAAAAAUCUUUUCAUGUCAUGUACUAAAAGUCGCCAUUUCAGAGUGAGCCUGAACUGAUGGUUCUAUGCUUAUUUCUAGAGAAACUGGUAGCCCCACUAAAGGCAGAGCUUCAGUCUGAAAGUUACAUCCUCAUGGUGUGGAUUCAAAAGUCGCUCUUCUUCCUGACACCUCAUGUCAAUAGAAUACUAUCCAUUCUUCUUACUCCAUUAUUUUAGACAGGGACAAGGUACAUACAUUUAAGUUUGCCAUUUUAAUAUUCCCUCAACAUAAGCUCCUUCACAAGCAAACUUUUAUUUCUUUACUUAUUCUGAAACUGUAUGUUCAGAUGAUACUGUGAUCAUUAGUUCCUACACGUCUUUUUUCUUUUUUUUAUUAGGCUGGUCUCCUUCACAGGAUUAGUUCCCAAAUAGCCUCUGACUACAUGAAUUGCUCCACAAAUUGUCUCACAGAGCCAUACAGUGUUAUCAUCAAAAAAUAUAUAUUUAAUAAUACAGCUAUCACAAUCAAAAUCUCGAGAAUUAAAAUCCUCCAUGAUCAAAGUUCUGGCUCUCUUGCAGACUUUUUUUCUUUUAAAUCAGCAAUACAUGUUGUUAUCUGCUUUUCUUAACUGCCCUCAAGGGUUACAAUAACUGGAUUAUUUUAUUGUUCUUAUCUAUUAAAGCUUUCCAGUGUACCAGACAAAAUACUUAACUAGCUCUCUGUUGGCAGCCCAAUACCAUCUCGCAUCGAUUGAACCAAAAGAUUCCUUUGCCUUAUCUUGUUCAGUGUAGACCAGAUUUCCUGCUGCUCACUGCUAAAAAUAUUUAGUGAUUUUACUUCCCAAGGAAGCUCUGAUUUCUGUUCAGUAGACUGUACUGGGUAUGGUCUAGGGAAAUUUUUUUUCUAUGUUUGUUGUUUUUAUCCUUUGUCUUCCAAUUCCCAUUUGUUCUGACAAGUUAAGUAUUAUUGGGACCUACAGUUGGACUGUCUCUUCCUUCACCUCCUCUUUCUUUUCGCAUCUAGCCUAGAAGUGUUUGCUGCCUACUUUAAAUAAAUAGUUAAUGUACAUUCUCCUCACAGGUCUCCUAAGCAUCUUUGAACAGCAGUUCUACCAGUGUCACUGUUCCACAUGCAUGCAAAAUCACUCAGAAAUCUGACUGUAAACCUGUAUUAGCAGCAGUUCCUAUCACAGCAGGAACAUCUUCACGCUGUGUUACCAGAGAAAGAACUAAGGAUAAAGACAGAUACGAAGCUAAUAUGUCUGAGAAGGUGAUAAAGCACUGCAAGGCAGCUCUAUUAAUAACUGCAUAUAUCUGAGUCAGAUAGAGGGAAAUAAGAGGGCCACAACUGUUACAGGAUACAUCCAACCUUUUUUCCCCUUACCUAACAAAUGAAGGAAUUACUAUGCCAUGAACUGACACAAUACGAAUAGGGGUAUUUCCUACUGAUACUUCAGUUGAGAACACUUUUCAUUAUCACCAACUUUAACAUACCAGCAAAAGAUCAACUCACUAUAAUUCUGAGUACUUUGGUCAUUAUAAACAAUAUACUGUUGCAAUAUACUUCAAUGUUAGGGACAAAAAACCUUGUACAUUCAAAGUGCAAUAUUUUCUAAAAAAGAUAUCAGAUGGCUGAUGAGAUUUGGGGUUGUUCUGAAGAAAAUGCUGUGCUGGAAAAUCCAAGACUAAAAGCUAAUGAUGAAUUUGUAAAGCACUCAAGAUCACCUACACAACACAGAAGAAGCCAAGAAAGGACAGAUAACAGAGCAAUUCUCAACUGACAGUUCGAAGAAUCAAUUUUUGUUUUUAUCUCACUUGCUAUGAAAUUAAUGAGGUUUUCAUAGUAUAGUAGUGCAAAGACCUACCAUCUGUGUAAAUUCCUGAACUCACUGAAUUUUCCUUUGUCUGGCACCUUCUGUACUGCCCAGCAGUGUUCCCACUUUGUUUAUACAUUUGACAGUCUAAGCGUAUUUUCUUUUCCAGGGCAGGCAGCCCUCAGCUCUAGCUGUCUACAUUGUGAAGCUGACUCCACACAAAUCAACACAUGCUUUAAACUUGUCCUCAUAGUGUCUCAGUUGUGUACUGAUCUCUCAUCUAUUCACCAUGAUUUACAACAAAAUAAAGGGGUGUGGGGAGGAACAACAGGAGACACAGAUUCUAGCACUUUGCAGUAUACACAUUUCAUAACAACUGAAACAGAUAACUUUACGGGCGUACCACUACAAUACUAUCUAACCAUACUCUUGAAUUUAAGUUUUUGAAAUCAACUUAUGCAAAUAUAUAAAUAUUUAAGGCCAGGAAAUAUGGAAAGGGAUGUAAUAAUACUCCAGUCAAAAUGCUGCAACUACACAGAGAAGCUGUAACAACAGAUUGCUUUGUAGAAAUUUACUUCUGUUUGAAGUUCAUUGAUUUUCAUUCCAGCCAUUUAUUUUGCUAAGCAGUAGUUUUGAGCACCUAUUGAUCAUCAUGUUCUGAUGUGGCAGGCUUCUGAGAAAAAAAGUUAAACUAACUAGAACUAAUGAGCAAUUAAACUUGCUCACACAAGUACAGUUGUGGUUUAAUGGUGGCAAGCACAUGACAUGAAGAACAAUGUGUCCAUUUUCUCAGACUUAUUUUCAAAUAAUGCUUAAAAAAAAUUCAGAUUCAUUAUCUAGACAAUAACACAUUAAACAGAGAAACAGAUUUUAACACGUGUUGUACACCAUGCAUACAUAAAUGUAAAAGAAAUUAAGCACUGGAGACCCAUUUUGAUCUACUUUUCUUCUGCUCUUCUACGUAAAUAUAACAUCCUUCUCUUCUAGACAAAAAGAGUAAUACUCUGUCUUAACUUUUCCAUACAUUUUUUUUAUCUUCAGUAUUAAACUGUUGAAGCUCAUUUCCCAUUUCUUAUACCAUGUUCCCUAGUUCUUAACUAUUUUGUGCAUUUGUCAAAUGGUCUUUGGAUCCUACCAUUUCUUUUCUUUCCCAUGAAAAGGUGAUUCAUUUCUGAAGGAAGGACUCAAUUAAGAUUUCCAGCAAAAAUUAUGUUUCAGGAGAGGACAAAAUGGGCACAUGUGAUAUCCAACAGUUGAUGAUUAACAGUGUUGCACUAAAGUCUCUGGAAUCACAAAACAACCCAAUCCUUGCUGAGGGAAAAUUGUAUUUUAAAAGUUCAGUAUUCACUUAUUAUAAUGCAGUUAUUGCAUUACAACCUUAGAUGAAUUCCAGAAAUAAAUGAAACGACAAUAUUUUUCUUGAGGUAAAUUCAAAAACCACUAAUAAAGGAAAUCUGCUAGGUUCAAAAAAAAUCAUUUGCUGAGAGCAAUACUUCCAAGUCUGCAUCAGGGUGGGUAGAAAACAAGAGAUUAAGAAUAUAGAAUAUGAAGAAUAUGAGAUGAAAAGAAAAAAAAAUAUGUUGCUUUUUGGAAGCUGAGGAAAAGCCUGAACACAUAAGCCAAGGAAUAAUGGUUUUGGGUUUUUUUUGUUUGUUUUUUCAAGUAACAUACCCAAAAAUCUAAUGAAAGGAAACAAAAUCUCACAGGCCAAGGCAGCAGUAUUUGAGAACCAGAUCCAAGAUGAAAUCCUCAGGCUACAUGGGCUUUUUCUUGAAAAUUGGAUUGCAAAAGCUUAACAGCUUGCAACUGAAGAUGACCCACUUUGCAUUGAAAAGACAUACAGAAUCCCCUUUAAGAAAAUAAUAACAAUAAUAAUAAAUAUAUAUAUGUCUUGAGUAGAAGGCAGAAUCACACUUAGCCUCUCAGGUCAGAGAUGCAAGGGAAGGAUCCACCUCACGGCAGCAUAAAAGGACAGCCAACUUUUCUAAUAUGCUUUAAGUCUUACAUUUCUUUCUUGUCUAAAGUGCCAUAACUGCAGCAAAGACUGAGGUUAGCACUGCCAAAGAAGAGAAGUAGACAUUUCUUUUAUAUUAAGAGGAAAAAAGAUCUCACAUUUCUUUACCAAAUAUUGGGAAAAGCAGGAUCGACAUACCUUCACAGCUUUCCCCAUUAUUGCAAAGAUAUGCCUUUCACAUGUCCAGAGGUCUACAGCUUUGUAAUACCUCCGUAGCCAAACAGAAAAGAAAAACCUAAUAUAUCAAAGUAUUAAUAAGCCUUAAUAAUUGACUUUCAAUGUUGUUUUUUUUUUUUUUUUUUUGGAAUAACAUUCCAUGCACAGCACUCCAGAAGUCACAUACAAAAAAUUUCCAACCAGCUCUGUGUUUUUAUCACAGAAUAUAGAACCAAGUAACGAGCAGCAAACAUUUCAUUUUCUAACUGGUAGUGAUCACAAAGGUACUGAUUUCUACAUAGUCUUCACUUGUUCAGCACCCUUGAAGACAAGAUAUGAAUAGUAAAUCACCCAUAUGAAAACUGAAAUUAGAGAAUCUCUUUGACCUUUAUAUUUGCAUUUCUUCCAUUACAGAAUAUAAAUAAAUUCAUAUAUUUCAUAAUGGGAAUUGUAAAACUUAUGCAAAUAUUGAUUCAGUACUUUGAUAAGAGAAUUUAUUUUCAAAUAGCAGGAGGAACAAUGAUCAAACAUUACCAAAAAAAUUCCUUAGGAAAUGCAAUCAAACAUGAAAAGUACUAUAUUCUUCUUUGCAGAAAAGCAUUUACAUUGCAAUACCUUCUAUAUCUAUAAAUCAGUUUCUUGUGUUGGCUAGCCAGUUUUUAAAUUGAUUUCUUUUUAAUAUUCAGGUCUUCCACCAUCAAUAGCAACACUUCAGAGUUAAACCAUUCAACAGCUCGCUUCCCAUUUUUUGGCUUUAUUUUUCCCCCAAAUUCCAUGACAGUAGCCUUAAAUCACAUAAAUCAAAUGAACUUUAGAGAGAGAAAAAAAACCAACAGAAUCUACAAACUUCAAACUGUUUUGUCAAAAAAAGUUCUUCUAGGUUAAACAUCUUGGAGAAUCAUCUUAAGUGGAAUGAUAAAUUAAAAUUACUCAAAAAAGAAAUAUUACCUGACUUUCUACUGCUAUUAUAAAAGACCGAAAAGUAGAACUGUAUCUUUUUACAGAUAAUUGUAGAGAUUUUACACUCCAAAGGACUUCUCAUAUUAGUUUUCUUACCUUUUCUCCACUUACAUAAAUGGACAUGAGAUAAAAUAUUCCAUUUCCAUUAUAUCUCAUAGUUUAACAGUUACGUCAAAAUGUUAAUCAGAAGAAUUCAAAAUAUUGUUAUAAAGCCUCCUAGGAACAUUUUAUUUUCUAGUUCUACAUAUAUCUCCUUGAUAUGCUCUAGCUCUUAUUUGUAGUUUUUUUUUUUUUUUGUAGACCAUAGAUCACCAUUCUUAUUUGUAGAUCAUUUUUCUCCCUUGUACCAAGGUGUUCCAUUCCUUCCUUCAUAGUUAUUGUCCACUUAAAUCUGUAUUUAUCCCUUUUAUUCCAUUCUUAGAUACAUAAUUGACCUACACCUGAAAAGUAAAUACUCAGACCUCUUUGAAAGUCUUGUGUAAAUAAAAAUUGUAGUUAAGAUCUAAACUAAGAGCAAACUUAAAUAAAGUACGCUUUUCUCACUGAGGUUCAGCGAAUGUCAUGAAGGAAAAAGGAAAGUCGUUCAGAUCUGCAUACAUAAUUAGAAACUUGCUUAAAUGAAGUUUGAAGAGAUUUGCAGAGAUUCUUUUUUCUUAUAAACAAGUUUAAAGAUUUUUGAAAUGGUUAGUUGGCCUGCAUUCAAAAAUACCAAGAGGGGUGCACUAAGGAACAUAACUUUUAUGAUUAUUUAAUUUUUUUUAGAUUGCCAAGUCAAGUGUGCUUUAAACUAGUCUCUUGUGAAUGUACAUAAUAAAAAAAAUUCUAUUUCAGCAGAUAAUUUUUUCAGGUGAUUUGCUUGCAGCAAAAUAAAAU